rnacentral:rRNA from 1 species
UACGUAGGGGGCAAGGCGUUAUUCGGAAUUAUUGGGCGUAAAGGGCGCGUAGGCGGCUUCGCAAGUGGAAGGUGAAAUCCCUCGGCUUAACCGAGGAACUGCCCUCCAACUGCGUUGCUUGAGGCCGGGAGAGGGGAUGCAGAAUUCCAGGUGUAGCGGUGAAAUGCGUAGAUAUCUGGAGGAAUACCGGUGGCGAAGGCGGCAUCCUGGACCGACAUUGACGCUGAUGAGCGAAAGCUAGGGGAGCAAACGGG